AUGUUGCUUUAUGUUGCACCAUAUUUAGAGAAGAUGUCAGGUGAAGCUCUUUUCACCAAAAUCGUCAUUUUUAUAGUAGUUUACGUUUCAGUUCUUACGCGUCGUGCUUGGGAAUCAGUUGUAAAUUAUGCCAAGUCUGACAAAAUCGUGGUGCUGGCUGUGUAUGGCGUCAUGAUUCUGUUUAUUGUCAUCGGCAUCAUUUACCGUAAGUUUCUAUUUCAUACAAAGUUCUUUGAAACUCUGUGUGAAAUUAAUUUUCAUGCCAUAAGUAACUAAUAACUUCUAACAAAGAAUAGAAGAAAGCGUGGAUUAUUAUUAUAAUUAUUUUCUAGUAUUGUCUAAAAAGAAGAAGAUGUCAUGUCAUGGAGCGAUAUGUAAUUGGAUAUGGGAUCAAUUAGCAAUUGCAUCUGGAUUCAUCUUUUUAAUUCUUCCUUCAUUGCAAUUUGCUGUUGUGUACUUUGCUUUUGGAGCUGCCAGAGGAGGUCAGUGACCCAUCAGUUUAAUAGAGAACAAUCAAUUUAUUGACAAUUAACCUAGACAAACAGUUACAAAACAGGUGUUAUCUGUCAGUAAAUCUUACAUAAAUCUUAUUUUUUAGGGUAUUAUGUGUCGAUAGCUGUCCCAGUUUUUUAUUUUCUCUCAUUUUCCUGUUUGUUUAAACUACGGGGAGGGAAAAGCUGUAAGUAUGUGAUGUAUUCUUUUGUCUGUAGAUUAUUUUCACAUUCAUACAGUAUUUAGUCAGCUCAUUUAUAAUGAUUAAACAUCUUUUUCAGGUUUAGAAUUACUCAAUAAAACAGCAUGGAUAAUCUACAUGUUUAUCAUGAAUACAGUACAGUGUUAAUUUUGACACGAAAUUUUAAUUUAGUUUUAGUCUUAGUCUUUUGACUAUAAUUCUUUUUAGUUUUAGUCAAGUUUUAGUCAUCUGAUUUGUUUUAAUUUUAGUCUUAUUUUAGUCGACUAAAAUUGCUUGGUAUUUUAGUCGACUAAAAUUGCUUGGUAUUUUAGUCGACUAAAAUAAGACUAAAAUCAAUAACAGAUUUACUAGACAAUUUUUAACAGCUGGUAUAGGAAACAAACUUAACCAAAAUAUAUAAAACACAAAUUCAACUUUAUUUCAACACAAUUUCAAAAGCUUUUAUGCAGCAACAAACACUGUCAUGAUAAUGUAAACAAUAACUAGCUGCCAAUUGACCAUCAAUAAAAGAAAAAUAAAGUUAGGUCCAGGACCUUAAAGCUUACAGCUGAGCUGAACAAUAAGUGCAUACAUUUAAAGUAAAUAUUUAAUAAGUUGGCAGCUAGGUGGAUAAAAAAAGUAACAAGAUUUUAUAAGAUAUUCAUUUGUCUAGCAAUAUUGUAUGUUUUAAAUACUACAAUAUUGCUAGAUUUGUAUGUAUAAUGAUAGGAUGUGAACAUUCAUGUUUCACAUGACUAAUAUAGAAAUAUUUGUGAUAUUGUCAACAAGUAGAACAUUAUAAAAUAUACUAAACCUUAUUAUUAAUCAAAUGUAUUUAUCAUGAUAUUACGUAUUAGUAUUGUGCUCGCAUCUAAUUUGAAGAAGGGGCUAUUUUACAGUACUUUUCAGUUCGUAAUAUUUAAUGCUACAACAUCUACGCACUGCACUAUUCCAAUUUUGCUUAGCUCAAUAAACAAAAGAACAUCGUUGUAAAAUUACAUUUGAGAAAAUGUCCGGGUGGCUCGUCUGUAAAUGUCUUUUCAAAUUGGUUGUGUUCUUGCCACGAAUGAGCGCUCCGCGUGCUUUACACUUUGUUUUGUUCGUCGUCAAACGUGAAGUGAGCUGUGGACAUUUUGUCGCUCUUUUAGACAGUAGGGACUUUAAGCAACAGCUGCGAAUGGAACGGCUACAGCGACCGGAAGUUUGCCGUCACACCGCUGUAGCCAAGAACGUAAAAGUCACUAAGCAACGGUAAAACAGAACAGCGCAACGCAGCAUUAAUUCAUUUAUUGAGAUCUAAAAAUAUAUAUAAUUUAAAAAAGCAAGAGAAGGAUUGCUUUUGGCGUUAAAUGACAAUCUUUUGUCAGAUGAGGAGUUUUUAAUAUUGUAUGAUGUAAAUAAGUCUAAAAACAUAACAUUUAUUUACCUAACCUCUCACGUUGUAGCGACUCUGGCAAAUCAGCUGUUCUCCCGUAGUAGACCGUUAAAUUAGAUCGUCAGAAAGUAGCAGUUAAAUUCGCACAGGCGCUGGCGUUGCCGUUCCACCAGAGGCUGUUGCUUAAAGUCCCUAUCACCUCUUCGAAUGCCGACUUCGCGGGAGCUAAUUUAAAAACUGAAAACCUUCGCUUCACGUCUCAAUAAGUCAGGCUCUGAUUGGUUCUCUUCUCUCAUGCAGUCUGUUCUGUUUUGCCGGUUCUUUUGCUCAUUCCUCGCAUCUCUCCCGUCUGCUGAUUUGAUUUUCGUCACAAUCUAUUUUCGUCUCGUCCUUUAUUCGUUGACGAUAAUGUCAAUCAAUUUAGUCAUAGUUUUAGUCUCCAUCAGUGCCUUCUAUUUUAGUUUUCGUUUCGUUUUCGUCGGCAAAAAUAUAUUCGUGACGAAAAUAAUGACGAAAAUAUUUAGUCAACGAAAUUAACACUGAUACAGUAAUGAUUCUUUACUACAUCACAAUACUGACAAAUAAAAGAGGUAUAAUUAUAUUUCUAAUAAAGGAAAUUGUUAAAACGUCUUUAUCUUGUUUUAUUGAGCUAAAGCUCCAUAUAUGUUUUAUUAAAUUACCUUUAUUCAAUCUUUAUGUAAUAAAAACAUACUUUUUUUGUUUUUUGUACAGAUGGUGCAGGAUGGAUCUGCAUGGCUAUAUUUCAGCAAGCCCUGUGGAUGAUCGCAAUUAUUAUAUUUAUUGCCAGUUGGAAAACAGGAAAUAGGGGGAAAACAACAUCCUUGAAUUCCACAUGUGAAUACAUGCGUUUAGACUUAGGUAAUUUUCACACACGCAUGCCCCACUAUUUUCAUGUGAUCAUUCUAUAAUUUACAAAAACACAAAUGAAAUUGAAUUAAUAUAGCAUAA
ensembl:lncRNA